rnacentral:tRNA from 1 species
GCGGUCGUGGCGAAAUUGGUAGACGCGCUGGAUUUAGGUUCCAGUGCCGCAAGGCGUGAGAGUUCAAGUCUCUCCGACCGCA